rnacentral:rRNA from 1 species
GACGAACGCUGGCGGCGUGCCUAAUACAUGCAAGUAGAACGCUGAAGGAGGAGCUUGCUCUUCUGGAUGAGUUGCGAACGGGUGAGUAACGCGUAGGUAACCUGCCUGGUAGCGGGGGAGAACUAUUGGAAACGAUAGCUAAUACCGCAUAAAAUUGAUUAUUGCAUGAUAGUCAAUUAAAAGGUGCAAUUUCAUCACUACCAGAUGGACACGCGUUGUAGUAGCUAGUUGGUGAGGUAACGGCUCACCAAGGCAACGAUACAUAGCCGACCUGAGAGGGGGAGCGGCCACACUGGAAAUGAUACACGGUCCAGACUCCGACGGGAGGCAGCAGUAGGGAAUCUUCCGCAAGGGGCGAAAGCCUGACGGAGCAGCGCCGCGUGAGUGAUGAAGGUCUUCGGAUAGUAAAACUCUGUUAUUAGGGAAGAACAUAGGGGUAAGUAACUGUGCACAUCUUGACGGUACCUAAUCAGAAAGCCACGGCUAACUACGUG